rnacentral:rRNA from 1 species
CCUACGGGGUGCAGCAGUAGGGCAUCUUUCACAAUGGGCGAAAGCCUGAUGGAGCAACGCCGCGUGCAGGAUGAAGGCCUUCGGGUUGUAAACUGCUUUUAUAAGCGAGAAAUAUGAUGGUAACUUAUGAAUAAGGAUCGGCUAACUACGUGCCAGCAGCCGCGGUCAUACGUAGGAUCCGAGCAUUAUCCGGAGUGACUGGGUGUAAAGAGUUGCGUAGGUGGCAUAAUAAGUAGCUAGUGAAAUCUGGUGGCUCAACCAUUCAGACUAUUAGCUAAACUGUUAAGCUCGAGACCGUUAGGGGUAACUGGAAUUUCUAGUGUAGGAGUGAAAUCCGUAGAUAUUAGAAGGAACACCAAUAGCGUAGGCAGGUUGCUGGGACGGUUCUGACACUAAGGCACGAAAGCGUAGGGAGCAAACGGGAUUAGAUACCCCAGUAGUC